GAUGAAGAACGUAGCGAAAUGCGAUAAGUAAUGUGAAUUGCAGAAUUCAGUGAAUCAUCGAAUCUUUGAACGCACCUUGCACCCUUUGGCAUUCCGAAGGGUAUGCUCGUUUGAGUGUCAUUGUACUCUCACACUUCCAAUCUUUGGAUUGGGAGCAGUGGACUUGGGUGUUGCUGCUUACUGUGUCUCACCUCAAAUCGAUUCGUGCACCUCUUGGUUGGACAUAGUACGGCGUGAUAAGUGUCUUCGCCGGCACCUCAGUAGAGGGUGGCUGAUCAGGAGCUCUGUGCUUCAAACCGUCCUCGGACAACAACUGACAACUUGACCUCAAAUCGAGUAGGACUACCCGCUGAACUUAAGCAUAUCAAUAAGCGGAGGA
rnacentral:misc_RNA from 1 species